AGCGAACGCUGGCGGCAGGCUUAACACAUGCAAGUCGAGCGGGCACUUCGGUGUCAGCGGCAGACGGGUGAGUAACACGUGGGAACGUGCCCUUCGGUUCGGAAUAACUCAGGGAAACUUGAGCUAAUACCGGAUACGCCCUUUGGGGAAGGUUACUGCGAAGGAUCGGCCCGCGUCUGAUUAGCUAGUUGGUGGGGUAAGUGGCCUACCAAGGCGACGAUCAGUAGCUGGUCUGAGAGGAUGAUCAGCCACACUGGGACUGAGACACGGCCCAGACUCCUACGGGAGGCAGCAGGUGGGGAAUAUUGGACAAUGGGCGCAAGCCUGAUCCAGCCAUGCCGCGUGAGUGAUGAAGGCCUUAGGGUUGUAAAGCUCUUUUGUGCGGGAAGAUAAUGACGGUACCGCAAGAAUAA
rnacentral:rRNA from 1 species